CAGAAUUAAACAAACUUUUAAUUCCUUUUUAUCUCUACAAUAGAAAAAAAUUUAUGUUUAUCCAAAUUUUUGCCAACCGGAGAAUAUUUAUUAUGAAUCUAUAUUUUAAUUUAAAAUUUAUUUAAUUUUUUUAUUUUAAUUUAAAAUUUAUUUAAUUCUUCUUUAUCUCUUUCUAUAUAUAUAUAUAUAUAUAUAAAAUCUCUAUUUUAUCUACUAAUAUUUUAUUAUUAUAUUAACUUUUAAAAUUUGAAACUUUUUAUUAAAAAUAUAAUUAAAUUAUAAAUAUAUUAAAAUUAAAAAAUAUAGAAAAAUAUUCAAUGUAUAUCUAUAUCAACACUAUAUAUAAAUUUUAUAAAAUAAAAAAAGAACUAUAUAAUUGUUGUUGACAACAACUAUUUAAAUUUGAGUUAGGAUAUGACUAGAGAUGUCAACGGGUCGGAUUCGGGGCGGAUUUUUAAAAACCCGAACCCGAACUGUGAGAUCCCUGGUGUUCAGGAGUUAAGGCCUGUCGACAGCUCUGGAGAGUGUCGGGACGAGUCUGAGUCUCGUUGGGCCGAAUUAGAUACAAAACGGACUCUGUGCAACGCGAGAGCAGCAUUUAGCAAAAGAAUCUACAAAUAGCAGGUUUCACUGCUUGAUGUACCGGUACAACAA
rnacentral:lncRNA from 1 species